CAGUAGCCGCGGGAAAACGGAGGGAGCUAGCGUUGUUCGGAAUUACUGGGCGUAAAGCGCGCGUAGGCGGUUACUCAAGUCAGAGGUGGAAGCCCGGGGCUCAACCCCGGAACUGCCUUUGAAACUAGGUGACUAGAAUCUUGGAGAGGUCAGUGGAAUUCCGAGUGUAGAGGUGAAAUUCGUAGAUAUUCGGAAGAACACCAGUGGCGAAGGCGACUGACUGGACAAGUAUUGACGCUGAGGUGCGAAAGCGUGGGGAGCAAACAGGAUUAGAUACCCCAGUAGUCCCUGUCUCUUAUAC
rnacentral:rRNA from 1 species